UACGGGGGGGGCAAGCGUUGUUCGGAAUUACUGGGCGUAAAGGGCUCGUAGGCGGCCAACUAAGUCCGACGUGAAAUCCCCAGGCUUAACCUGGGAACUGCGUCGGAUACUGGAUGGCUUGAAUCCGGGAGAGGGAUGCGGAAUUCCAGGUGUAGCGGUGAAAUGCGUAGAUAUCUGGAGGAACACCGGUGGCGAAGGCGGCAUCCUGGACCGGCAUUGACGCUGAGGCGCGAAAGCUAGGGGAGCAAACGGG
rnacentral:rRNA from 1 species